rnacentral:tRNA from 1 species
GGUCCACUAGCUCAGGGGUCAGAGCGCCGUCCUUAUAAGGCGGUGGUCCCGGGUUCGAACCCCGGGUGGACCA